rnacentral:rRNA from 1 species
AGUCGAACGCGUUGGCCCUUUGAUUGAUGGUGCUUGCACCUGAUUGAUUUUGGUCGCCAACGAGUGGCGGACGGGUGAGUAACACGUAGGUAACCUGCCCAGAAGCGGGGGACAACAUUUGGAAACAGAUGCUAAUACCGCAUAACAACGUUGUUCGCAUGAACAACGCUUAAAAGAUGGCUUCUCGCUAUCACUUCUGGAUGGACCUGCGGUGCAUUAGCUUGUUGGUGGGGUAAUGGCCUACCAAGGCGAUGAUGCAUAGCCGAGUUGAGAGACUGAUCCGCCACAAUGGGACUGACACACGGCCCAUACUCCUACGGGAGGCAGCAGUUGG